AACGAACGCUGGCGGCAUGCCUAACACAUGCAAGUCGAACGAGACCUUCGGGUCUAGUGGCGCACGGGUGCGUAACGCGUGGGAACCUGCCCUUAGGUUCGGAAUAACUCCCCGAAAGGGGUGCUAAUACCGGAUAAUGUCUUCGGACCAAAGAUUUAUCGCCUUUGGAUGGGCCCGCGUUGGAUUAGCUAGUUGGUAGGGUAAAAGCCUACCAAGGCGACGAUCCAUAGCUGGUAUGAGAGGAUGAUCCGCCAGACUGGGACUGAGACACGGCCCAGACUACUACGGGAGGCAGCAGUGGAGAAUAUUGGACAAUGGGCGAAAGCCUGCUCCAGCAAUGCCGUGUGAGUGAUGAAGGCCUUAGGGUUGUAAAGCUCUUUUACCCGGGAUGAUAAUGACAGUACCGGGAGAAUAAGCUCCGGCUAACUCCGUG
rnacentral:rRNA from 1 species